AGAGUUUGAUUCUGGCUCAGGAUGAACGCUAGCGACAGGCUUAACACAUGCAAGUCGAGGGGCAGCGGGGGUGAUGGCUUGCCAUCACCUGCCGGCGACCGGCGCACGGGUGAGUAACACGUAUGCAACCUGCCCGCCACAGGGGGAUAAGCGGAAGAAAUUCCGUCUAAUACCGCGUGACGCGGCAUCGGGGCAUCCCGGUGCCGCCAAAGGGAUUACCGGUGGCGGAUGGGCAUGCGGCGCAUUAGCUAGUCGGCGGGGUAACGGCCCACCGAGGCGACGAUGCGUAGGGGUUCUGAGAGGAAGGUCCCCCACACUGGUACUGAGACACGGACCAGACUCCUACGGGAGGCAGCAGUGAGGAAUAUUGCCCAAUGGGCGCGAGCCUGAACCAGCCAAGUCGCGUGAGGGAUGACGGUCCUACGGAUUGUAAACCUCUUUUGCCGGGGAGCAAGCGUGCGUUCGUGA
rnacentral:rRNA from 1 species